rnacentral:rRNA from 1 species
AGGUUUGAUCCUGGCUCAGGACGAACGCUGGCGGCGUGCUUAAUCCAUGCAAGUCGAACGGGGCGAUCCCGGAAGUCCUUCGGGGCGGAAAGGAGAGCCUAGUGGCGAACGGGUGAGUAACGCGUGACCAACCAACCUUAAGCAGGGGGACAACAGCUGGAAACGGCUGCUAAUACCGCAUGAGACCACAGCGGGGCAUCCCGCAGGGGUCAAAGGAGCAAUCCGGCUUAAGACGGGGUCGCGUCCCAUUAGUUAGUAGGUGAGGCAACGGCUCACCUAGACAGCGAUGGGUAGCCGAGCUGAGAGGCUGAUCGGCCACACUGGGACUGAGAUACGGCCCAGACUCCUACGGGAGGCAGCAGGAAGGAAUAUUGGGCAAUGGGGGAAACCCUGACCCAGCAACGCCGCGUGAAGGAAGAAGGCCUUCGGGUUGUAAACUUCUGUGACAGGGGACGAAGGAAGUGACGGUACCCUGAGAGGAAGCUCCGGCAAACUACGUGCCAGCAGCCGCGGUAAUACGUAGGGAGCGAGCGUUGUCCGGAAUUACUGGGCGUAAAGGGCGCGUAGGCGGCCAGACAAGUUGUAUGUGAAAGACCAGGGCUCAACUCUGGGGGGUCAUACAAAACUGUCGGGCUUGAGUGUGGUAGAGGAUAGCGGAAUUCCUAGUGUAGCGGUGAAAUGCGUAGAUAUUAGGAGGAACACCAGUGGCGAAGGCGGCUAUCUGGGCCACAACUGACGCUGAGGCGCGAAAGCGUGGGGAGCAAACAGGAUUAGAUACCCUGGUAGUCCCCU